CUGGCUCAGGACGAACGCUGGCGGCGUGCCUAAUACAUGCAAGUCGAGCGGACUUGAUGGAGUGCUUGCACUCCUGAGAGUUAGCGGCGGACGGGUGAGUAACACGUAGGCAACCUGCCCUCAAGACUGGGAUAACUACCGGAAACGGUAGCUAAUACCGGAUAAUUUAUUNCAUAGCAUUAUGUNAUAAUGAAAGACGGAGCAAUCUGUCACUUGGGGAUGGGCCUGCGGCGCAUUAGCUAGUUGGUGGGGUAACGGCCCACCAAGGCGACGAUGCGUAGCCGACCUGAGAGGGUGAACGGCCACACUGGGACUGAGACACGGCCCAGACUCCUACGGGAGGCAGCAGUAGGGAAUCUUCCGCAAUGGGCGAAAGCCUGACGGAGCAACGCCGCGUGAGUGAUGAAGGUUUUCGGAUCGUAAAGCUCUGUUG
rnacentral:rRNA from 1 species